rnacentral:rRNA from 1 species
GAAGAUUAACAUCCCAUGGAUAACGAUAUGGCAUCAUAUUGUUAUUAAAGUUUCGGCGGUAAAAGAUGAGUAUGCGUUCUAUUAGCUAGAUGGUGUGGUAACGGCACACCAUGGCAACGAUAGAUAGGGGCCCUGAGAGGGGGAUCCCCCACACUGGUACUGAGACACGGACCAGACUCCUACGGGAGGCAGCAGUGAGGAAUAUUGGACAAUGGAGGCAACUCUGAUCCAGCCAUGCCGCGUGCAGGAAGACUGCCCUAUGGGUUGUAAACUGCUUUUAUACAGGAAGAAACCGCCCUACGUGUAGGGCUCUGACGGUACUGUAAGAAUAAGGAUCGGCUAACUCCGUGCCAGCAGCCGCGGUAAUACGGAGGAUCCAAGCGUUAUCCGGAAUCAUUGGGUUUAAAGGGUCCGUAGGUGGAUAAUUAAGUCAGGGGUGAAAGUCUGCAGCUCAACUGUAGAAUUGCCUUUGAUACUGGUUAUCUUGAGUUAUUAUGAAGUAGUUAGAAUAUGUAGUGUAGCGGUGAAAUGCAUAGAUAUUACAUAGAAUACCAAUUGCGAAGGCAGAUUACUAAUAAUCAACUGACACUGAUGGACGAAAGCGUGGGGAGCGAACAGGAUUAGAUACCCUGGUAGUCCACGCCGUAAACGAUGGUUACUAGCUGUUCGGAUUUCGGUCUGAGUGGCUAAGCGAAAGUGAUAAGUAACCCACCUGGGGAGUACGUUCGCGAGAAUGAAACUCA